CAACUAGAUUGGCUAAUCUACCGGAAGAUUUACAACCAGAAGAAUGGGAAUGGAUGAUUGAGUACUUUGGCACUGAUUUAAAAUUCCAGGAACGCAGCCAAAAGAACACCGAUAACCGUAAGAAACAGAAGAAAAAACACAGAAUUGGAUCAAAAUCUUACUCGCAAAGAAACCCGGAAG